ACUUCCUUCAGUCACACUGAGCACAUGGUGCUCUUGUACCAAGAACAAAUGUCAGACGCUCUGCCUGGGCCUUGGGGGACGGAACAUGAGCAAGGGAGGAGGAAGUCAGUCAAAGGACAGAACUUCUGCUCGAGGACUGAGGAGUCAAGGAACAAAUGUCACCCGGAGACCCCAGGGAGACAGCUUCGCGUCAGCAGCCACUGCUGCAGAAAGAAAACACAGGAUCCACGAAGGAGACACAAGUGGUCUUGGGAGUCGGCCGAGGAAGGCAGGUGAGCUCCUGUGAGACGUGAGGGGUGCAGAAACAGCUUUGUGCUCAGCCACGUUUUUGUCUGCAGACGUGGGGUGCUCUGUGGGUGUCUGUGUGCACACACGUGUGUGUUUUGACCCUGGGCUCUGGCGGUGGAAGAGCAUUUCCUGAUGCGGAGGAUCAUUGGGUGAUCAUUGGGAGGAUCAUAGGGUUAAGGGGACAUGCUUCAGUGGCUGUUAUGGUUCAGGUGUGGUGUCCCUGAGGGACCAACUGAGUGCUCCCUGGAGUCAGGUGGGGUGUGGCUGGAGGGGGUGGGCAUUGGGGGCUGGCUUUGGGGUUUAUAUUUGUGUCUGGUAAAUGGAGUCUUUCUCCCUCUGCGUUCUGAUCAUCAUGUGAACUGCUUCCCUCUGCCACACGCUCCGCCAUGAUGUUCUGCCUCACCUCGAGCCCCAGCCCCGAGGAAUGGAGCCUGCUGUCUGUGGACUGGGCCCUCCGACACUAUUUGGGAAUAUUUGAGUGUUUGGGGGGCUGGGACCCAAGUCCAAGUCCUGUCACCUGUCAAUCACCUAUCUCGGUCUCGGAUUCGUAGCCUGGAGGAGAACAGCAUGAAAGUGAGAAGCAGCACCCAUCCAGAGGAGAAGCGCCCUUAGAGAGCCACCUACGGACAGCAGACGGGAAGGCUGCAGGCCAGGUGCAGCCUUAGCCAUGGACACCUGGUGAUGCCACUUGGUGACAGAACAUCACCUCCAAGGACUCCGGACCAGCAGCCAGCCUGGACCCAGGGUCUGCGUCCAGGCUGCUCUCUGUGGCCUCUGGUGCCCAUCCCACGGCACCUCGCCGGCUGUCUGGAAGACCUCACGGAGCGUCACUCAUCACAGAGAAAGCAAGCCCUCGGUCGAGGCACUCAGGACCAGCCCAGGCAAAACCCUCUGCCUACAGCGUAAAGAGACCCCUGGGCUCAUUCUGCGGAUUUUCAAAGAGCCCAAAGGAGCAGCAGGUCCUGGGCUUUCCUCAGGGCUCUGGAAGCGCAGGUGAGCCCGGCUUCCGCCUCGCUCCCCAGCUCAGCUGCACUCUGAAGCACAGGAGAUCGGGGACAGGGACUGGACACUGCCAUCUUUUCACAUCACCUUGUGUACAUGUUUAAGGAACAAAAACAGCAAGAUCAUAAUCUUGACAAUUAAAAAAGCCCCCACCCCCAAAUAAACAAACUGAAAAUAGCACAAAAAACUUUUUUUUUUCCUUUUUCUUUUUUCUUUUUUUUGGCAUUUUAAAGAGCAGGAAUAAAGAAAAGAAAGGAAUUUAUUUCUGGGUCUCAAAGUUAAUAAACAAUGAUGUGUUAGGUUGUAACUAUUAAGUUCACUAUUCCAACCUUUUUUUUUUUUAGUUUACAAAAUGAGUUACUGUCACUUUUAAACAUCGUGAAACAAGAGAUGGACGUGCACAAUGACACUCUCCUAGCAUCCUGACCUAACUCACAAAUGCAAGGAAAUGAAAGAAAAGUGGGAAACGAGGAACGCAGGUAGUUUGGUGU